rnacentral:rRNA from 1 species
UACAGAGGCCCCAAGCGUUACUGAGAAUCACUGGGUUUAAAGGGUGCGUAGGUGGCGCGUUAAGUCCGUUGUGAAAUCCCUUGGCUCAACCAAGGAAAUGCUUCGGAUACUGGCGUGCUUGAGGCUAGUAGGGGUCACUGGAACUGACGGUGGAGCGGUGAAAUGCGCAGAUAUCAGGAGGAACACCGGUGGCGAAGGCGGGUCUCUGGGCCGAUACUGACGCUGAGGAGCGAAAGCGUGGGGAGCGAACAGG